rnacentral:rRNA from 1 species
UACGAAGGGGGCUAGCGUUGUUCGGAAUCACUGGGCGUAAAGGGCGCGUAGGCGGCUUUGUAAGUCGGGGGUGAAAGCCUGUGGCUCAACCACAGAAUUGCCUUCGAUACUGCAUGGCUUGAGACCGGAAGAGGUAAGUGGAACUGCGAGUGUAGAGGUGAAAUUCGUAGAUAUUCGCAAGAACACCAGUGGCGAAGGCGGCUUACUGGUCCGGUUCUGACGCUGAGGCGCGAAAAGCGUGGGGGAACGAAAAAGG